rnacentral:lncRNA from 1 species
AUAUGAAUAAGUAUACAAGUACCAUUAGUGAUUAGGCAGAAAACAAACAGAAUAACGUAUCUGAGCAUAGUGGAACAAGAAGGAAGAAACAUCUUAGAGGGUCAAGGAGUCUGGAAGGUGAUGUUUAAGUUGAAAUAUAAAUGAUGAGAAGAAACCAGCUAUGUAAAACGCAGAGGGGAAAGUGUUAGGAGGAAACAGCAUAUGCAUAGGCCAGUGCAGUCUGUGAAUCGUGAGUUAACUUUUCACAUUUUAAUUUAUUUUUUCAUUGACAAGUCACAAUUGCAUGUAUUUAUGGUAUACAAUAUGAUGCUUUGAUGCACGUAUACAUUGUGGAAUGGCUAAAUCAAGCUGUUUGAAUAUGCAUUACCUUACAGAUGUAUCUUUUGUGGUCAAAACACAAAAUUUAGCAAUUUUCAAGUGUACAAUGUAUUAUUAUUAACCACAGUCACCAUGAUAUACAAUAGAUCUCUUUAACUUAUUCCUUCUCUCUAACUGAAAUUUUGUGUCCUUUGACUAAAAUCUCCCCAAUCCCCCAAAUCCUAGCCUCUGGUAAUCACCAUUUUUCUCUGUUUCUGAGUUUGAUUUUCUUUUAAUUCCACAUAAUAAGUGAGAUCGCAAACUAUUUGUCUUUACAUGCCUAGGUUAUUUCACUCAACAUAAUGUCCUUCAGGUUCAUCCAUGUUGUUGCAAAUGACAGAAUUUUUUCUUUUUUAAGGCUGAAUAAUAUUCCUUUGUGUAUAUAUACCAUAUUUUCUUUAUCCAUUCAUCUGUUCAUAGAUACUUGGGUCAACUUUUAAAGAAAUGCAUAUUUCCUUUCAGUUUAUUUUGAAUAUACAGUACACGGUUUGGAUUUUUCAACUCUUUUAAAGAGGAGCAAGAACAGUCAGCUUGUUUGUAGUAAAUCUUGUACAGAUGUGAGAAGGUCCUGAUUGCUCUAUGCCAAGAAUUUGUUUGACUACAGGUCUGUGGAUUAGAACGGGAAAAUGGGGAUAGGGACAGGAGUCCAAAUUAAGUGUCAGAAAAUAAUCAGUUUAAUGGCAUGCUCAGGCAGUUGACAAAGGCAUAGCAUAAACACAGGCAAGGUCCAAAGUACUAGUCAGGAACCAGAACUGAAGUCAAAUAAUAUUGGCAAGGUAGCAUUCUAAAACAUCUAAAAGGCUGUUGUCAAGCCAACAGAGUUUCCUGAUUCCUCACCUCCUUUGAGGAGGAAAAACAGUGGCUUGGGCAGUUUGGAGUAGGAAAAGGACCAGAGUAGAAAUUCAGAGUCAGAAUAGCCAAGAAGUGAGAGGGUGAUAAGGAGGCUGGGUCAGAUACUGGACAGCAACCAAGAAGUGAGGUCACAAAGCCAGAGAAGCAGGGAGAAACCAUAAGGUAACAGAUACAAGGCACCCAGAAGAAUGUAGAACUUUCAUAACAGAAAGAAAAGAUUUUAGGCAUCUAUUUUACCAUCUCAGAGGAAGAUAGCUGCAGUUGUGUAAAACAGUGAAGGAAGACUUUGAAAGAGCAGAAUCGUGAGGAAUGAUGCCAGUGCCAUUUGCUGAAAAUGAAAGCAGGAACUUGGACCAGAAGUUUUAGAAUCCUGAAUUUAUCAAAGAAAUGUGAAGGCUGAGGCUUACAGAGAUCGAAGAGUAGAGGAUGCAUUGAGGCCACAGUUGAAGGAAAGAAGCCUGGAUUUCCACUGAAUUUGGGCUAAAUUUCCACUAUUCUUCUUCCUCUUCCUUAAGAUUCUGCUCAUUGGGUUACCCACCAACCCAGGAAACAGACUUAUCUCCUUAUCCUCAAGUUGCUGAAGGCAGGAAGAAUGAGCAAGGUUUUGCUCAAGGAAGAGCUAUUGUAACAAAAUAAUUGUAAUUAGUCUGAUAGUGCAGGGAAAGAAACUCCAUUUCUUCUGAGGAAUUCGGGGCAUUAUUUGCAUUUGAAAAAGCAAUCUCAUUAGAGCAGUAUGUUAUAUUAUAAGACAUUUUGCAGAAAAAUGUUUGAGAAGAACCAUAGCAGUCUCUUGCAUGUGCAUGUGUGCCCACACACAGACACACACACACUCUGAAUUUUCCACUUAAAAGUACAUAUACUUCAAUUAAAAAGCAAUUUGAAAAGUAAUAUAAAUUGAUCAGGGGAUGUUCCUAAAUUUAAAGAGGGAAAGACUUGUAGAGGUUUAAAAAUAAAAGGACUUGGGGUUGGAGGAACAGGCAUUAGGGAAAGCUAUAUGGCAAGGUUAAAAGAAUUGUGGAAUUAAUGCUAUUUAAAAAUAAUUGCAUUAGAAAUCUAGCUAAUGGGAAUUAGUCCAUUUCAUUGACUUAGAUAGUUAUAAAAUUAAUUCCUUUUUGUGGGAAUUUUAAUUGGGUGGCUACAACCAGAUGCACAUGAGGAAUCCCCUCCUGGUGCUAGAAUUGCAAUCAGGAUGUUCAAUUCAACAACAGAGUUCGAUUCAUCAAUUGGGUGAAUCUCCCAAUCUAAAAAGGUUCCGCAUAGCUACUAUGCACCUAAAAUUGCCCCCAAAUGGUUUUCUUACUUUCAUGUUAUUCUAAGUUUUUUACUCUUGGUGAAACCUCCUCACAUGCUAGGCUACUUGUCUAUUUUCAUCCCCCCUUAGCCUCACUUCCCAAAAUAUUUUAUCAUUUUCUCUUUUGGGUCAACAAUUACGGAAAAUAAAAUUAUUUCUAUUUCAAA